rnacentral:rRNA from 1 species
UACAGAGGUGCCGAGCGUUAGGCGGAAUCACUGGGCUUAAAGCGUGUGUAGGCGGACUUCUAAGUACCUUGUGAAAUCCCACGGCUCACCCGUGGAACUGCUGGGUAUACUGGUCGUCUUGAGCCACCUAGGGGCGAGCGGAACAAAUGGUGGAGCGGUGAAAUGCGUAGAUAUCAUUUGGAACGCCAACGGUGAAAACAGCCCGCUGGGGGUGUGCUGACGCUGAGACACGAAAGCCAGGGUAGCGAACGGG